CAGUAGCCGCGGGAAUACGUAGGUGGCAAGCGUUGUCCGGAAUUAUUGGGCGUAAAGGGCUCGCAGGCGGUUUCUUAAGUCUGAUGUGAAAGCCCCCGGCUCAACCGGGGAGGGUCAUUGGAAACUGGGAAACUUGAGUGCAGAAGAGGAGAGUGGAAUUCCACGCGUAGCGGUGAAAUGCGUAGAGAUGUGGAGGAACACCAGUGGCGAAGGCGACUCUCUGGUCUGUAACUGACGCCGAGGAGCGAAAGCGUGGGGAGCGAACAGGAUUAGAUACCCCCGUAGUCCCUGUCUCUUAUAC
rnacentral:rRNA from 1 species